AUUGAACGCUGGCGGCAGGCCUAACACAUGCAAGUCGAGCGGAUGAAGGGAGCUUGUUCCUGGCUUCAGCGGCGGACGGGUGAGUAAUGCAUAGGAAUCUGCCUGGUAGUGGGGGAUAACGUCCGGUAACGGGCGCUAAUACCGCAUACGUCCUGAGGGAGAAAGUGGGGGAUCUUCGGACCUCACGCUAUCAGCUGAGCCUAGGUCGGAUUAGCUAGUUGGUGGGGUAAAGGCCUACCAAGGCGACGAUCCGUAACUGGUCUGAGAGGAUGAUCAGUCACACUGGAACUGAGACACGGUCCAGACUCCUACGGGAGGCAGCAGUGGGGAAUAUUGGACAAUGGGCGAAAGCCUGAUCCAGCCAUGCCGCGUGUGUGAAGAAGGUCUUCGGAUUGUAAAGCACUUUAAGUUGGGAGGAAGGGCAGUAAGUUAAUACCUUGCUGUUUUGACGCUACCAACAGAAUAAGCACCGGCUAACUUCGUG
rnacentral:rRNA from 1 species